rnacentral:lncRNA from 1 species
CACACUGUGCGUGUGUGUGGUCGAUCGCACAAGGCAGAGGGAAAGGGGUAAACCCUAAUUCUCAAGAAAUCUCCAAAUUGAAAAGGGAAUUGAAGGAUUUUAGGAUGCAUGUAUCAAGAUUAUCGAUCUCCUAAGUGUUCUUCACUAUCAAGAACGUGUCAAGGAGAGGUCAAGCAUAGGAGGAUAACGGGUCAAGAUAAGGCAAGGUGACAAAUACACUUAAUGGAGUACUCGAGGUAAGUGAAUUUCGAUUCACUUUUUAGUAGGUUUAAUAGAUUUUAAUACUUAUGUUUACGAAACAUCAUGAAAGAACAUGUAAUAAUCAGAAGUACAAAGCCAAUAAUGCCUCAUUAUUGAGGAAGGUUGUAUUAAGCCGAAAGUAAAUUGGUGGGUUUAAACGGGUCGAAUUUUAUGUGCAUAUGUUGCGUAAUGUAAUGAAAUUCGUUAUGGUUAAGACCUUGGGUAGGAAUUUUUAGUCAUUAUGUAAGGGGAACACUUCCCAGACCAUUAGGAACAAGUUUUAUAUGAUUCGGUUGUCGGUUAGUUAAUGAACGGAUUGUUUCAUGUUAGUGUAGGAAAUUUUAUAAGUAUAUGUGUAUAGGAACCCAAAGGGCACGUGGGUUGAAUCAUAGAUUAUUUAUACUAUGUAAAGUUGUGAAUGUGACAUUUUGGCAUAAACCUACAUGUAAAAGAAGCUUGUGUAUAUAUUCGUGAUUAAUUGAUUGUGCGUAGGAAGGAACAUUGGCAUGUAUGAAGGUACGCAUGUAUAUGUAAGUGUGUGUAUAUAUAUAUAUAUAUGUAUGUAUGAUAAUAAGUACGUAGGUGUGAAUGUAUGUGUGAAUGAAUGUUCAAUGCUUAAGACAUAUGCAUGAACGUUAUCAAAGUGUUCGAGUAUUUAUGGUUACUAAUGAUGUGCGUUGAGUUGGAAUGUAAUGUAGGUAUAGGAUCGUUGGCUUCAUGAAGAAAUGGAGCUGGAUUUGGAUAAGAGUAUUUAAGAAAGCGCUUGGACAAUUCCACGACUACUUUAUAGAAUGCUCUACGAAAUUCUAUUAUAUAGUUUAAUGUUGUAUGGUAUGUUAAUGACUAAUGGUUUGGUUGUACGUGGUGUCCACAGGUAUCGCUUGGGUUUUCUCUACAUUUAUUGAAGUGAAGCGGACUUAGUUCGAGUUGAGAGCAAGGAUUGUACGGGGUAGAAUGGUCACAUAGUGUAACUCAUAUAGAUUUUGAAGUAUUUGAACUUUCAUGUGUCUGAUAUGUCUAUUAAAGAACGAAAUUUUUGGGCUCUUGUUUUCUGCUGCGUCGUAUUUUAAGUUAUUAUACGUUAGUCUUACAGGGAAUUGUUCUUAUUACGAACGGGUCAUGCCCGAAUUUUGUUAAAUAAUAGUAUGAUAAUAUUACAUUUUGAAAUGUGUAAUUUGGGCGUUACAAGUUGGUAUCAGAGCCCUGGUUUGAGAGAAUCAAGUAACAGGAGGUAAAUACUUGAACUCAAACCGGUGUGCUCUCGUGACCAAGAACCCGUACAAUCUAAGACUCGAUCGAGGCCUAAAUGCAAAAGCGAAUGUAAGUAUGUAUUAGAUUAUGUAUUUGAAGGAAACUAAUAGUAUGUUAUGUGCAAGGUAAGCUUAAGAGUUUGAAGAGGGUGAUCCGUGAAUGCGGAAUAGGAUGAACGCCAAGACGGGCGAAGGUGCAACUAGGCAAAUUAACCCCAGGUACACAAUACUAAUAUGUAUGAGUACCGAUGUAAAAAUAAAAAGGAAAGGGUCUCCUUGGGAGGGUAAUUAUUAAACGAAAGACCAUGAUGUGGUCUUGGGGAAGUUUUAGAAAUAUGCACGAAACCGAAACCUAUCUCUCGGGCGUAAGGCGAUGAUUACACGAAGGCACGAAACUAGUGUGUGGAUUGCGCACCUGGCCAGUACGCAAGAAGCAUAUAACGUUCGUGAGACCGUGGCAAUUAUUGCAGGUAUGCCCGGUAGAACUGGGUAGUAGGUGGGCGCUAUGUUGUAGCGAAUGCGAAAUAGCAAACCAUUGCGGAUUUGGUUAUGCUAACGAAGGUUAUGAUAAGCUAUGCGAGCCGACCGGUUCUAACAAACAAGUCGAGCAAGAAUAAGCUACCAUCCGUUUUGAACGGGUGACUCUGAAUGCUCUCAUGAAUGCUAGAAGCUUAAUCCGUUAUACGGAUAGAAAGAAGAAUUUAUGUUAAAAGCGAAGAACCCAAUUACUUGGGUAGUCGAAUGUGUAUGCUUAACUCUCUUUGAGAGUGUUUAUGCCGAACCCAAUUACUUGGGUAGUCGAAUGUGUAUGCUUAACUCUCUUUGAGAGUGUUUAUGCCGAACCCAAUUACUUGGGUAGUCGAAUGUGUAUGCUUAACUCUCUUUGAGAGUGUUUAUGCCGAACCCAAUUACUUGGGUAGUCGAAUAUGAUAAGGUAAGUGAUUCAUGUAAUCACUUCUUAGUACGAGUAAGUAAUAUACUGUUUAAAUUAAUUGAACAUAAUGUUUGAAGUCAUAUAUGUGAUGAAGUCUUUCGUUGUAAAUGAUUGAAUUAAAGUUGACCAAAAUGCCCUUGAAGGGUAUUUUGGGCAAACGAUAGUAAAAGUGGUUUAGAACCAAGUUGUUCGAUCAAUGUAAUGUUUUAGAUAAGUAUGGAAGUGAGAAGUAUGGUCUUUGUAAGCCAUAAACCUUACAAUGCGUAAAUACCCAUUACGGGUCAAAAUGAGCUUUUGAGCGAAAAAUAGAUUAAGAGAACGCUAGACAUCCGAGAAUUUAAUCUUUAUGAUAGGCGUCAAUGAAACCAUUAAGUUCUUAUGAGAUUGAGGUCAAUUAAACAGUUUACGAUGAUAACUGCACGAACGGGUCAAAUAAUUAGAAGGUCAUAAUAAGCCGAGUGCAUGUAAGUUAAGAAUUUCCUUAAUCCGGAUGUGGGAUUUUAAGUUUAUAUGAUGGAAUGUGAAUUUACAAGCGUGUAGGAGGAAACGGGAGGUUAAACGGGUAAACGGGUAAACGGGUCAAAAGUUACGCGCGUUUUAGUGCGCUCGGACGACGAAACGGAUCUGCAAAAAAAAAAAAAGACUUUUCUAGAGGCCGUCGCCGACGGGUUCCCACCCCGUCACCGACGGGCUCCCAAAAGCACGAAAGAGGCCGACGGCUUAAAUGACUGGUUACGGGACUUUUGGGCGACGGGUAUAAGGAGAGGCCGUCGCCGACGGGUCCCCACCCCGUCGCCGACGGGUUGACCAGCCCGAUUCUCUGUUUUUGCUUUGUGUAGCAUUUCCGAGUGAUUCGUAACGCAUUCCGGUGUAUCACUCGAUGAUUCGUAAAGCUUCUCAUGAAAAUAUAGGCAAGUACCUUCGAAGAUAAGCAAGUAUGUACGUUUGUAUGCAUUUGUUCACGUAUGUAGAAGUUAUGUAAGUAAGGUAUGCGUGACCGUAGGUAUGUUUAUAGUAUGUGGGUUCUAUACGUAUGUAUGUUUUAUAACUCUAAGAGUACGUAAGUAAGUAAGUAAAUAUGUGUGUUGAUUUAGACACAUUGAGGGCUAACGUUAUUAAUGGUGUACCUGGAGAAUGAUAAGUAAUGCAGGUACACUCAUGAAGCCUCACCAGGAAAUGGAUACGCAGAUGAAAUGCUGGAAGUUUGUAAAAGAAUGAAAUGUGAAGUGUACACGUAUAAUCUUGUCUUAUGUUGUGUGCUAAUGUUUUGAAGGCAUGUAAUAAGACAUAAUGACCCAGGUACGUAAAUUUAGCGUACGGGUGCAUGUAAUGCUAAAAUUUAGUGAGCGAAGGAAAAUUUUAAUAAAACCUAAUAACAGAAUGGAAACGAAGAAAUAAAAACUAGACGGGUUAAAGAAGAUGAGAAAAAGGUUUCGGGGACGAAACCUUCUUUAAGGGGGGUAGAUUUGUAACACCCCAAAACUCGAAUUAUUAAAUUCGUUAGUAGGUUACCUUGGGUAAUUAGAUGAAGUACAACAACUAAGUUAUUAAACUUAGUUAAACGUCUAAUAAAUAAGUAAAGGAAUGAAGUUUGUGGCAACUAUGAUGAUGUGUUAGAGUUGAGGGACCUAGAUUGCCAUAAUGUAAACUAAAAUAUAAUAAAAAAAAAGAAAGAAAAAAUAAAACCACAACACACACUGUACGUGUGUGUGGUCGAUCGCACAAGGUAGAGGGAAAGGGGUAAACCCUAAUUCUCAAGAAAUCUCCAAAUUGAAAAGGGAAUUGAAGGAUUUUAGGAUGCAUGUAUCAAGAUUAUCGAUCUCCUAAGUGUUCUUCACUAUCAAGAACGUGUCAAGGAGAGGUCAAGCAUAGGAGGAUAACGGGUCAAGAUAAGGCAAGGUGACAAAUACACUUAAUGGAGUACUCGAGGUAAGUGAAUUUCGAUUCACUUUUUAGUAGGUUUAAUAGAUUUUAAUACUUAUGUUUACGAAACAUCAUGAAAGAACAUGUAAUAAUCAGAAGUACAAAGCCAAUAAUGCCUCAUUAUUGAGGAAGGUUGUAUUAAGCCGAAAGUAAAUUGGUGGGUUUAAACGGGUCGAAUUUUAUGUGCAUAUGUUGCGUAAUGUAAUGAAAUUCGUUAUGGUUAAGACCUUGGGUAGGAAUUUUUAGUCAUUAUGUAAGGGGAACACUUCCCGGACCAUUAGGAACAAGUUUUAUAUGAUUCGGUUGUCGGUUAGUUAAUGAACGGAUUGUUUCAUGUUAGUGUAGGAAAUUUUAUAAGUAUAUGUGUAUAGGAACCCAAAGGGCACGUGGGUUGAAUCAUAGAUUAUUUAUACUAUGUAAAGUUGUGAAUGUGACAUUUUGGCAUAAACCUACAUGUAAAAGAAGCUUGUGUAUAUAUUCGUGAUUAAUUGAUUGUGCGUAGGAAGGAACAUUGGCAUGUAUGAAGGUACGCAUGUAUAUGUAAGUGUGUAUAUAUAUAUAUAUGUAUGUAUGAUAAUAAGUACGUAGGUGUGAAUGUAUGUGUGAAUGAAUGUUCAAUGCUUAAGACAUAUGCAUGAACGUUAUCAAAGUGUUCGAGUAUUUAUGGUUACUAAUGAUGUGCGUUGAGUUGGAAUGUAAUGUAGGCAUAGGAUCGUUGGCUUCAUGAAGAAAUGGAGCUGGAUUUGGAUAAGAGUAUUUAAGAAAGCGCUUGGACAAUUCCACGACUACUUUAUAGAAUGCUCUACGAAAUUCUAUUAUAUAGUUUAAUGUUGUAUGGUAUGUUAAUGACUAAUGGUUUGGUUGUACGUGGUGUCCACAGGUAUCGCUUGGGUUUUCUCUACAUUUAUUGAAGUGAAGCGGACUUAGUUCGAGUUGAGAGCAAGGAUUGUACGGGGUAGAAUGGUCACAUAGUGUAACUCAUAUAGAUUUUGAAGUAUUUGAACUUUCAUGUGUCUGAUAUGUCUAUUAAAGAACGAAAUUUUUGGGCUCUUGUUUUCCGCUGCGUCGUAUUUUAAGUUAUUAUACGUUAGUCUUACAGGGAAUUGUUCUUAUUACGAACGGGUCAUGCCCGAAUUUUGUUAAAUAAUAGUAUGAUAAUAUUACAUUUUGA